AUUUUAAAAGAGUUUAUUGGACUCUUUUGACAGACAGCUCAUCUAUGAAAGGGAUUUUAGAGAGACAUAAUGCUAUCAGCUUCUGCUAUUCUACCGCUUUGAAGAUUCGCCCCUUACAAGGAAAUAAUUUGUCUUCUCUCCGAAUCCACGCGCUCUCUCUUCUAUACUCCCUCUGCUUCUUCCUCUUCUUCUAAAGCUCUUGUUUCUGCUCAAACUAACAAGAGACCUGAAUGUAAUUCUUGAUAUAAUCUCAUAACUUGAUACAAUUUUCCAUUUUUGAAAUGUACUUGAAUUCAAUGACUCAUGCACCUCUCUUUCCUCUAUUUUUUGUUUAUAUUUUCUUUUUCUUUUUUGGUUCCACUCUGUGCUAGGUGACCUUCAGACUUACUCUGCUUAUGGUUUGGCCUUAAAAACGAGCUUACCAGAUGUCGCUCUAUGGUGUGAUGUGCAAUUAGGGGUGGUAAUAGGUCAGACUUUGAAAGGUCUGAGUCUGGCAUACGGAUUUCAGUCGAUUUUUGUCGGGUGGUAUGAAAAUUCCCCGAAAAGUCCAGAUGAAAUCGAGGACCGCAAGUCCUUAUAUCAUUCUUCUCCUAAACUUAUAACUGUGUUUCGGGUUGUGCAUCAGAUUUCAAAGACUUUCCAUCGUCCUGUCCAAAAAUACAGAUAGCGGUCCAUUUUUGUCGGGUAAUCUCCCGAAGAGUCCAGAUGAAAUUGAGGACCAGGAGACUCUUAUAGCAUUGUUAUCCUAAAUUUAUAAUUGUGUUUCGGGUUUCAGGUUAGAUUUCAAAUACUAGGCAUCUUCUGGUCCGAAAAUAUAGAUUUAUGUCCGUUUUUGUUGGGUGGUAGAAAAAUUGCCCGAAAAGUCCAGAAGAAAUCGAGGAUCGGGACACCCAUAUAACAUUCUUCUCCUAAAUUUAUAACUGUAUUUCGGAAUCCGCGUCAGAUUUCAAACAGUUGCCAUCGCCUGGUCCGAAAAUACGGAUUUCAUUCCAUUUUUGUCUAGUGGUACGAAAAUCGUCCGAAAAGUCUAGACGAAAUUGAGGACCGAGAGACCCUUAUAGCAUUCUUCUCCUAUAUUUAUAAUUGUGUUUUGGGUUCCGCGUCAGAUUUCAAACAUUAGCUAUCGUCUGAUCCGAAAAUACGGAUUACUGUCCAUUUUUGUCGAGGCUACGAAAAUUGCCCUAAAAGUCUAGAUAACAUCGAGGAACGGGAGACCCUUAUAGUAUUCUUCUCCUAAAUUUAUAAUUGUGUUUCGAGUAAGAUUUCAUGAAAGUAAGAGAAGAUCAAAAAUAGCUAUGUUGUUUUUCUUCUUGAAUUCAAUACCUUAUAUAUACAGUGGUUUGGUUGCUUCAUCACUUCACCAUUAACCGCCAAACUUGUUGGGAUGUGUAAACCACACGCUCUCUCUGCAAUACUCCCUGCUUCUAAAUUCUCUCUUUCUAGCUCUUGUUUCUGCUCAAACUAACAAGAGAUAUGAUUGGAAUACACUUACCGGUAGGUGUUAUUUUUUUCUUCUUUUUUGUGAUUUUUUCUUCACUUGCUUAUUGCAUAUUUAAGUAGAAGAAGAAUGUUUAUGAUUAUCAUUAUGAUUAGCUAUGAAGUGGAGGGUCUAAGCUUAGUUUAUAAUUAAACUUUGAUUUGUUAAUUUGGGCUUAGAAGGGAUUUGGCUUCUCAUAAAUGUUGCUUAAUUAAAUGGUUUACCACUAUGUUGAGAUGUUUAUGAAUAGAUUUAGAUAUACGACUCUUCAAUGCAAUAUAAGCAUAAUGAAUAUAUGAAAAACUGAUGUAUUUGGACCUGAAUGUAAUUCUUGAUAUAAUCUCAUAACUUGAUACAAUUUUCCAUUUUUGAAAUGUACUUGAAUUCAAUGACUCGUGCACCUCUCUUUGCUCUAUUUUUUGUUUAUAUAUUCUUUUUCUUUUUUGGUUCCACUCUGUGCUAGGUGGCCUUCAGACUUACUCUUGUUGAUUGUUUUGCAGGUAAUCCGCCGUUGGUCAUAGCACAUGGUGGUUUUUCGGGGAUAUUUCCAGAUUCGAGUGGUGCUGUUUAUGGUUUGGCCUUAGAAACAAGUUUACCGGAUGUCGCUCUAUGGUGUGAUGUGCAAUUGACAAAAGAUGCAGCUGGGAUUUGCCUUUCAAAUGUCAACCUUUUAAAUUCUAAUUACAUUUCAUUUGCUAUCCCAAAUUAAACUACGAAUUACUCAGUUAAUGGUGUAUCCACCCGUGGCUAUUUUUCGUGGAUUACACCUUGAAGGACUUAUCCAAUGUCUUCUGUAAGUUUCAGUCAUGAUAAAUAUGUAUUUUUAUUGAUGUAGAUUAUCGUUAUUUUGUGGAAUGAUUGAUUCUUUUGUAUGACAUACAUGUGUUUUAUGAUUUAAGGUAUUUUCUAUGUUUGGCAUACUAGUGAGUUUUGAAGUUAUUUAUUUCUAUGGUUUUUGACAUUUUUUCACUGUUGGUCAGUAUCUCAGGGAGUAUUUUCUCGGUCACCUCUACUUGAUGCCAAUGGUUAUCUAAUUCUUACUGUCAAUGAUGUAGUCAAAUCAGUGGCGCCACAAACACCAAGUCUGUGGUUGAAUAUUCAGGUUAAUGGAAUGUAUAAUUCAAUUCAUUCUCAUGAAAGUAAGAGAAGAUCAAAAAUAGCUAUGUUGUUUUUCUUCUUGAAUUCAAUACCUUAUAUAUACAGUGGUUUGGUUGCUUCAUCACUUCACCAUUAACCGCCAAACUUGUCGGGAUGUGUAAACCACGCGCUCUCGCUGCUAUACUCCCUCUGCUUCUUCCUUUUCUUCUAAAUUCUCUCUUUCUAGCUCUUGUUUUUGCUCAAACUAACAAGAGAUAUGAUUGGAAUACACUUGCCGGUAGGUGUUAUUUUUUUUCUUCUUCUUUUUUGUUAUUUUUUCUUCACUUGCUUAUUGCAUAUUUAAGUAGAAGAAGAAUGUUUAUGAUUAUCAUUAUGAUUAGCAAUGAAGUGGAGGGUCUUUGCUUAGUUUAUAAUUAAACUUUGAUUUGUUAAUUUGAGCUUAGAAGGGAUUUGGCUUCUCAUAAAUGUUGCUUAAUUAAAUGGUUUACCACUAUCUUAAGAUGUUUAUGAAUAGAUUUAGAUAUACGACUCUUCAAUGCAAUAUAAGAAAAAUGAAUAGAUGAAAAACUGAUGUUUUUGGACCUGAAUGUAAUUCUUGAUAUAAUCUCAUAACUUGAUACAAUUUUCCAUUUUUGAUAUGUACUUGAAGUCAAUGACUCAUGCACCUCUCUUUCCUCUAUUUUUUGUUUAUAUUUUCUUUUUCUUUUUUGGUUCCACUCUGUGCUAGGUGGCCUUCAGACUUACUCUUGUUGAUUGUUUUGCAGGUAAUCCGCCGUUGGUCAUAGCACAUGGUGGUUUUUCAGGGAUAUUUCCUGAUUCGAGUGGUGC
rnacentral:lncRNA from 1 species